rnacentral:rRNA from 1 species
CACGUAGGCUCCAAGCGUUGUCCGGAUUUAUUGGGCGUAAAGAGCUCGUAGGCGGCUUGUCGCGUCGACCGUGAAAACUUGGGGCUCAACCCCAAGCCUGCGGUCGAUACGGGCAGGCUCGAGUUCGGUAGGGGAGACUGGAAUUCCUGGUGUAGCGGUGAAAUGCGCAGAUAUCAGGAGGAACACCGAUGGCGAAGGCAGGUCUCUGGGCAGAUACUGACGCUGAGGAGCGAAAGCGUGGGGAGCGAACAGG